UACGUAGGGGGCAAGCGUUGUCCGGAAUUACUGGGCGUAAAGCGCGUGUAGGCGGCCAUGCAAGUCGGAUGUGAAAGCCCUCGGCUCAACCGGGGAAGUGCACUCGAAACUGCAAGGCUAGAGUCUCGGAGAGGAUCGUGGAAUUCUCGGUGUAGAGGUGAAAUUCGUAGAUAUCGAGAGGAACACCGGUGGCGAAGGCGGCGAUCUGGACGAUGACUGACGCUGAGACGCGAAAGCGUGGGGAGCAAACAGG
rnacentral:rRNA from 1 species